rfam:Emmonsia sp. CAC-2015a strain CBS 136260 supercont2.210, whole genome shotgun sequence.
GGGCGAUUGGUUUAGUGGUAUAAUACCCCCUUAGCAUCCAGUUUUCACAACAAAACUCGAGUGGGGGUGGUCCAGGGUUCGAUUCCCUGAUCGUCCA